UUUGCUUCCUUCAUUUCAAGAUGAAAGUUCCCAUUCAAUAUGCAUUUGGAGUUCAUCACCACCCUCAAGCAAUUUAAGGACACUGAAAAGCAAAGGAAACCACCAUCACUCCUAAUCCACAGACUCCAGAAGAAGAGAAAACCGAAACCAGCAGGAGGUUGCCAGCCCUAAACACUACAUUAAGCUUCCACUUCAGAACAGAUGUCUGGAUGGGGCAGCAAAAGUGGAGCAAUUCUGCCAGCCCAAACAUUUGUUAUCAAGGUUGCAAUCUUGGUCAUGCAAGCGGAAGAAAAAACAAGAUUGCCCAUCUUCUGCUGGCUGGGUUCGAACUUGGCCAUGGGAGCGGGAAAAGAGAAUAGAGAGGAAAAUGGACACUGGACUGAAGAGAUGGGAAGAGGAAGCAGCCCUCCAUCACAUCAUCCUCCCUUCAGGGAUAUAAGGGUUGUUUCAGGCCCCAGACAUUUCUAGGGAUGGAUCUUGGCUUCAAUUAAUGGCUGGCACAAACUGCUUUUUUCAAGCUAGCACAAAAGUCCGGAACAAAUAAGCUUCGAUAGACAUCUCCUCGUUAAUUUUGAGAAAGGGAACAAUUAACUUUUUUUCCAGCAUUUUUUUCUAAACUGGAAAUCUUACUGGAACUUGAGCCAAGUUUAAAACCAAGCUAACCUUUUCCUCGAAUCAAAAUUAGUCCCAUCAACCUAGUCAUAAUUAACAAGCAAAUGAGAAUUAAAUUAAUAAGUGACUCAGACUCUACUUUUAAUUUACACAUGGGAAGUCACCAAAGGACCUGCAACAAAACGCUAAAUUGUCCUUUUUGAAUCAGCCUUAACUCUUUUGUGGACUGCUGCAGGAGGCUCAGAACACACAAUAUCAAUCUUAUGUUUUAUGAUAUGAAGGUUAUCCAUAACAGUCAUAGUAAGUUAUCAUUGAACUUGACUGCCGUGAUUCAUCAUCCUCAAAAACUGCUAGGUACUAUUGAUAGAAAUCAGCUUUGGCUGCACAGACCAAGAAUAUUUUACAAAUGGAAUUUUCCCCUCUAGAUUGUAAGCUCCUUGUGGACAGGGAUUGU